AGUUGUUUUCAGGUGCAAGUUCGCCCUCUCGUUGUGCACCGCGUGUGCGUUGCGUGAUCGGCUGCGCAAAAGCUAGCUCAGUCGAACCCUAGCCACCACAUCCCGUCUUCCUCACUCGCUCAGCACCACAGGCGCCGGCGCGCCGCACCCCCUAUUCCUCCUUUAUCCUCAUUCGAAUAGCCGCCGGCCGCCCCACCGCUUCUCCCCCUUCCUCCUACCUCCCUUAUCACCACUACCUCUGGCCCUGCCCCCAAUCCACAUCCGCCUCCUCCCUCCGUUCCUUCCAGAUCAGGGAGUAAGAUCGCAGGCGGCAAAGCAUGCGGUCGAUGGCAGCGGCUGGACGAGGAGCAUGGCAGCGACCGGGGCUGCUGGACAGUAGGGGCUCGCCGUGGUGGUCCCUGGGAAGAGGGCGACAUCUUCCGGCGACAAGCUGCAGGCCUGCAACAUUUAUAGAGGAGGAUUGCAGGUGUUGAUACAAUGGAGCAAUUUCUGGCUUUGUAGUUGGAGCAUAGCCUCGAUUAUGCAUGAUUUUGGGCAAUUGGAUGUUAAUCUGCUAUGGGCAACGGCGGUGCAUCAAGGUGCAAGGCAGCAGCGACAUGUUCAUAGUACGCUAAAGGAUGAACUCCUACUUUUUAUUAUGCUAGCUCCUUGCUGCAGAUAUACCAGCCUGCGUACAUUUCCUAAUAUAUCCUCUUGGUCAAGGCAAUUGCACAUGAUGAAGCCACUCAUUUUAGGAUAUGCAUUGUGCUUAAACAUGAGUGCUCGCUCGCCGAACAUUGGCCCUCAGAUGAAUUCGACGCUUGAAUCGAGCUGACGAGCCCCAUGGGGGUGAGAGGCGGAUAACAAUACGAGAAGGAGCAUGCCAUCGAGGAGUGCAAGCAGCAGCACUCCUCCGCAAUGGGGUAUGGCUGCAGGGGAGGGGACGCGGCCAACGACAGGAAGAAGGAGCAGGUCGUCGAGGACUACAAGCAGCAGGAUUAUUUUUGGCCCAUACAGUUUCCUUUGACUGGAAGUCUGAAACUGAAGAUAGGGCAUAUUGUUUUGGUUCUGAGUGGCCGGAGAUAUUGUGGCUUGAUGUCCCUAUAGCAGUCGGAUACUUCCAAGAUAGAAGAUCUUUGGGAUUGACGUUCUGAUGAGAAAGUAGCAUACGGAUGGAUGGACAUGAACUAUUCAGUGGUCGAAUUGCGCUAUAUUUCUUUCAUUGAGGCGAGGGUGAUUCCAGUAGAUUUUGCUUGGCGUAUUCACCUUUUUUAUUGAAGUUGGGUGUCCGUCUUCUCUGCGGCAAGGAUCUGGGGAGUCAGAUUGUGGAUUACAUGUAGUGGGGAAGUAGAGAGGGGGACGAGGAAGAGGACGCCGUCGGUGGCGUGCUAUAUCUCACUAGGCGACAAUGUCGAGAGGGUGCCUGGCAUCAAGAACCCGACAUGCUUUUCCGAGUGUUCGUUGAGAUCUAUGCUGUCGCGGCAACACAGGCCAAUACACAUUCAGGAAAUAUGUCACCAACUUCCCCAAGGUCCCGCAUCGUCUACUCAGAGAAAUCCGAGGUAAUAUGAAGGGAGAAAUCUCACCAGUUUCAGUCGCAGAGUUUCAGUAGGUAAUAUGGGCCUUUCAGAUACCUGUGCCUCCAUAUGCGCCAGAAGUUAUUCUUUUACUGCACAUGCAAGAUAAAAGUUUAAUAGAAACACUGCUAAAAGACCCUUCUUAGCAGGUUUAUAGAUGUUGUAAAAAUAUAUUCUUUUUCAUACAUCAAACUUGAAAUUCUUAGCGUGUGCAUUUCCUAGACAAAUGAGUACUAGAAAAAAUAAACGUGUUUACAACACGGGAUGAUUUAAACUUGGGCUUUCUGCUACCAAAAUAGAAUGUGCAUAUGCAUCCAGUUGUAAACAACAAACACCAUUUUUCUGCUAAGGAAAAUUAUAUUUAUUGCUAUGUGUGCUUGACCACAGCUAAAGCAACUGAACAUAGAUUUAAUUUUAAAUAGGGCUUUCUCCUACCAAACUAAGAUGUGUAUUUACAUCGUUUGUCCCUACUAAAGGAAACUAACUAAUGCCCUUUUUGUCGCAAGCAUUUUGACAUCCACAACUAAACCACAAUUUUGCAUCGCCGACUUGUGGUUUGUAUGCUUAAAAUACCUUUUUAACUGAGCUUGAAAAUUCUUAUGUGUAGUGAAAUUGUAUCUAACACUUUGUAAAGAACAAAUGAAACACUUUUCAAAUAACUCUUAGUCUAAAUCGACACCUUGUGCCAUUUGACAUGAUAAUCAUAAGUGGUUGCUAAAGAGUUUGAAUUGGUAAAGUGGUUGCAUCUGCUGUUUCAAGUCUGGACUAUUCCAACAUGCUGAAACCUAAUUUAAUUUUCAAAACACUUCGUGUCUGAAAUGGACAUUGUGCUAUAUGGCGUAAUGGGCCAUUUGUGUUACCAUGCAUGCCAAGUAAUCUGAAAUAAUAGGAAAGGAAAAAUAUCACCAGUUGAGUACGCUUCUCACGCCCAAAGGAGGAACCGAGGAAGAAAAGAAAUACACAUGCACGAUGGAUGCAGGCGCUGCUGCUUCAUAUUCUACUUUGGACAGGCCACACAAAGAAUUGUUCCUGGACCUAGGUACCUGGACGACCCACACAAAGAAUUGUUCUUGGACUAGGCUAGGUAGCAUAUGAGCCUUUCAAAUACCCAUGCCUCCAUAUGCACAACACAGAGAGGGUUUUUCUUUUUGUGCACAUGGAAAAUAAAAGUUUAGUGCAAACACUGCUAAGAAAAUGCAUCCUUAAUUAGUCUAUAUAUGUUAUGCAAACUUGAUAUUUUUUCAAACUUGGAUUUCUCAGUGUGGUAACUAUAUUUUCAACUAAAAAAAUGCUUCCUUAGUUGGUCUAUGCAUGUUAUAAAAAUAAGAUUUGUUUUUGCAAACUCAGAUUUCUCAGCGUCAUAAACAUAUUAUCAAUAUAGUAUGACUUAACCAUAGGCUUUCUACUACCAACAUCGAAUAUGUUCUUGCAAAAUAAAACUAUUUUCAUCGACAACAUGUCUUUAGCGGGUCUCUGCGCCAUUUGGCGCAACGGGUCAACUAGUAGUAGUAGAUGUAGGCAGGAGUCGGUCUAUUAAUCUUGGACGUGAUGCUUAUAUACAUGAUCGUUGCCUUGGAUAUCGUCAUAAUUAUUAGUUUUUCUGUCAAUUGCCCAACAGUAAAUUGUUUACCCACCGUAUGCUAUUUUCUUGAGAGAAGUAUUUAGUGAAAAUCACGGCCCCCGGGUCUAUUUCCUAUCAUAUUAAAACCAAAAAUACCUUUCUGCAAUGUUUAUUUAUUUAUUUUAUUUUGUGUUUUAGUUAGAUAUAUUUAUCAAAUCCCAUAAAAUAUAAUCUAUCUCAGUACUUUUGAGGCAUUGACAACCCUACACGCGUUGGAUUGCAAGUAUUUGUUGUUUCU